GGGUCGUUAGCUCAGUCGGUAGAGCAGCGGACUUUUAAUCCGUUGGUCGGGCGUUCGAGCCGCCCACGACCCACCA
rnacentral:tRNA from 2 species